rnacentral:rRNA from 1 species
AUUGAACGCUGGCGGCAGGCUUAACACAUGCAAGUCGAACGAGUGGGGACGGGUGAGUAACACGUGGGUAACCUCCCAUCAGAGGGGAUAACACUUGGAAACAGGUGCUAAAACCGUAACGGACGGAUGGGCCCGGGGUGCAUUAGCUAGUUGGUGAGGUAACGGCUCACCAAGGCCACGAUUCAUAGCCGACCUGAGAGGGUGAUCGGCCACACUGGGACUGAGACACGGCCCAGACUCCUACGGGAGGCAGCAGUAGGGAAUCUUCGGCAAUGGACGAAAGCCUGACCGAGCAACGCCGCGUGAGUGAAGAAGGUUUUCGGAUCGUAAAACUCUGUUGUUAGAGAAGCGGUAUCUAACCAGAAAGCCACGGCUAACUACGUGCCAGCAGCCGCGGUAAUUC